rnacentral:rRNA from 1 species
AUUGAACGCUAGCGGGAUGCUUUACACAUGCAAGUCGAACGGUAGCACGAAGAAAGCUUGCUUUCUUUGGUGACGAGUGGCGAACGGGUGAGUAAUGUAUCGGAACGUACCCAGUAGCGGGGAUAACUACGCGAAAGCGUGGCUAAUACCGCAUACGCCCUACGGGGGAAAGGGGGGGAUCGCAAGACCUCUCACUAUUGGAGCGGCCGAUAUCGGAUUAGCUAGUUGGUGGGGUAAAGGCCCACCAAGGCGACGAUCCGUAGCUGGUUUGGGAGGACGACCAGCCACACUGGGACUGAGACACGGCCCAGACUCCUACGGGAGGCAGCAGUGGGGAAUUUUGGACAAUGGGGGCAACCCUGAUCCAGCCAUCCCGCGUGUGCGAUGAAGGCCUUCGGGUUGUAAAGCACUUUUGGCAGAGAAGAAACGACUCUGGAUAAUACCCGGGGUUAAUGACGGUAUCUGCAGAAUAAGCACCGGCUAACUACGUGCCAGCAGCCGCGGUAACAC